rnacentral:rRNA from 1 species
CUGGCUCAGGACGAACGCUGGCGGCACGCUUAACACAUGCAAGUCGAACGGAGUUAUCGAGAGUUUGCUUUGAUAACUUAGUGGCGGACGGGUGAGUAACACGUGAGCAAUCUGCCCUUAAGAGGGGGAUAGCAGUUGGAAACGACUGAUAAUACCGCAUAAGAUAGUAGUACCGCAUGGUACAGCUAUAAAAGAUUUAUCGCUUAAGGAUGAGCUCGCGUCUGAUUAGCUAGUUGGUGAGGUAACGGCUCACCAAGGCAACGAUCAGUAGCCGGACUGAGAGGUUGGACGGCCACAUUGGGACUGAGACACGGCCCAGACUCCUACGGGAGGCAGCAGUGGGGAAUAUUGCACAAUGGAGGGAACUCUGAAUGCAGCGAUGCCGCGUGAGGGAAGAAGGUUUUAGGAUUGUAAACCUCUGUCUUUGGGGACGAUAAUGACGGUACCCAAGGAGGAAGCUCCGGCUAACUACGUGCCAGCCGCUGC